GCAACUAAGCCUGUGCACCAGAACUACUCAAGGCCGCCCUCUAAAGUCGGCAAGACACAUCUACUGAGCCCACCUGCUGCAACUAAUCAAGCCCACCCGCCCUGGAGCUCAUGCUCUACGAGAGAAGUCACUGCAGCGUGACGUCCACACGCCGCAGCCAGAGGGUAGCCCCCGCUCUCUGCAGCUAGAGAAAGCUCGAGCACAGCAACAAAGACCUAAAAUUUAUAUUCUAAAAAAAGAAAACCAAGAACGGACAGUGAGGGCCCUGAGGAUUAGCAUCAGAGGACAACAAUGACCUCCGUAGGCCUGAAGACAAAGGAAGAAGCUGACGCAGAGCCCAGGGAGGGCUGUGGUUGCAGGAGAACGUGGUUGGCCCAAGCAAGGGAAAAGAAGCUUGGCCUUUGCCAAACUCUGCAUUGCAAGUCCUUUCCCAGACUAGGCUGGACGUUCCAUGACGGCAGGGAUUUUCAUUCAUGGUCCUCACUGCACAGCCCUGGCACAGGUGGAUGCUUUCUACAAAUAUGUUAACUGAAGGAACGAAGUCUCCCUUCUGGGCACAGCACCCCCGAUUGUCCUUUGGAGAACCUCCAUCCUGCACUCUCUACUCACAAGCUAUGAAUGAGGGAAGCCCACAUCCAUUGCACAGGGGCCCAUUACUCAGGCUUGGCAGUCCGCAUAUCCAAGACCACUGGCUACACCUGGGCAGGUGGUACCCACACAAGGGGCUGAAAUCCCUGCCCCUCAAGCUCGAGUCCUGGCACAAGAGAAAGGGGCUUCUCCCAAGAGAAAGGGGCACCCUUCCUAACUGACACAGAAGCACCUCAGGGGGCAGCCCUGGCCAGGAGCAAAUCUCGUCACCUUGGCCCCAGUGUUUGGGUCAGAGACGGGCAUGUAACCAGACUGGUCCAGCCAGGUGAAUCCUAGAAAUCCGCAGGUGCCACUGUUACUGGAAGGCCUAUUAACAAUUCUUGGGAAAUAAAACUAGAAAUAGAAAUCUGGGUAAUAAAGUCUAACCUUUU